rnacentral:rRNA from 1 species
CACGCCGUAAACGAUGGAUACUAGCUGUUCGGAGCAAUCUGAGUGGCUAAGCGAAAGUGAUAAGUAUCCCACCUGGGGAGUACGCACGCAAGUGUGAAACUCAAAGGAAUUGACGGGGGCCCGCACAAGCGGUGGAGCAUGUGGUUUAAUUCGAUGAUACGCGAGGAACCUUACCAGGGCUUAAAUGUAGAUUGACAGGUCUGGAAACAGAUUUUUCUUCGGACAAUUUACAAGGUGC